AAAAUCUACAAAAAAAGCGAAUUUAUUAACGAUUAAUCAUUUUUGGGUGAAUUAAUAAUUUAUUUUUGCAUUAAAUUCCUUGUAAAUGACGUAACAAAAACGAUUGCGCGGUGACAACGCCUUCAUUGCAACGUUCCUCGGUUGUUUAAAAACAACAGCGCUACGGAAUGGGCACACAGAGCUAUCUAACGGUGAAGCGGUGAGGUUCGUAGUUAAAAUUUGUUUUUUAUGAGAUUAGUUUUUGUUUAUCUUACUUAAUUUUACCAAGAUGGGAAAUCCGGUUUAUACCAUAAUUUGGUUGUUGAUUUUAAUUUUUAUAUCAUUUUUCGUUGCUGCCUUUUGCGCGGGAUGGUACAUUUUAUUCCAUCCAUUAAGCGUUUGUAUACCAGCUUGUGGGCAAAUUGCUGAAAUUUUAUUAUCAGGGAUUCAAUUUCCGCAUUAUUGCGCUGAAAAAAUGAUGCAAGGGGCGGCUUUUCCAUAAAUUUGAUUAAUUAUUAUUAAUAAUAACGAUUCGAAAGUGUUCAAUGCUUAUUUAAUUUAUAAUAAUUUUAUUAACAAAGUACAAAGGAGUAUAUUGAAUUAAGAACUUAAGCAUAUAAAACCCAUUAGACGAAUUUAGAUAACGAUUAAAAAAAAUACUUUAAAAAGAAAACCGAUAAAGACUCAUUUUAUCAAUAUUUUUAUAACCUGGCCUUAAAAAAAUAAUAAAGAUUAAACAAUUUCCGAAAAUGUUUAUAAAUAAAAUAAACAAAUUCCCCGUGGUACCAUCUAUCGGUAAUUCGCCGAAUUAGACGACGAUUAAAAUCAAGGCCGUAAAACAUUUUAGGUUAGCCUUUAUACAAGUGUAAUAAAUAGAAUUAAUUAAUGUUUCUAAAUAAACAUAAUAAUUUUGACUUAAA